rnacentral:lncRNA from 1 species
GCUGCGCACUUCGGUCUUUUACGUCGGCCUUCGCGAGCGUCUGGGCGGGUGGUAGGUGAGUGGGUAUUGCGGGCUAGUAUCCGAGCAAAAGAUGGUGGCGCAGGCCGAGUUAAGAGCUUUAAUCCUGUGAAGACAUCUUAGUGAAGAGUUUAGAGUGCUGAGAGUUGAAAGCUUGCACGUGGGAAACGUGCGGCCGGACUGCCACAUGUACUGAGGUUGAGUCGUGACGGCCACAGGCUCCGAGUUUUGGCGUGAGGAACCGCUGAUCGGCCACGGGCGCCGAACUUGCUGGCCUCCGGCAUGUGCCUGAGCGGCGGCGGAAAAACCACCUUAAUUGGGGCGGAGGGUUAGUUUUAACAGCAAAGGGCCUUUACUAAAAUGGCGAAGGCCUUCCGUCGGCGUUGUUUUAAAAUGGGAAGCCUCGACCCUGUAUUGAAACUGAGCUGUUCGAAGGCGGCGUUGUGUGCAAUUCGGAUUAAUGAAGGGGAAGGGUUUUGUGUGGAAAAACGCCUUGGAGUGUGACAUUUCUGCGAGAAUGCUUAAAUACCGAUUUCCCGCAGGAACAAUGGCGCUGUCUUCAGUGGCACAGUGGAGCAGCUCUGAAGAUGCAAAGAUACACGAAAAAACUUCCAGAACAUCUGGGAGAAUAUUUAAUGGAAAAUCGCUUGGUUAAAACCUGACACUUUUAACAGUGAGGGUCGCUGUCUGCCCAUUGAUAGAGGCCAGAUUGUCUUGGAAGUUCCAAAGUUGCAACGAUUUCUUUAGUUGAAUCCAUGGACAUGAAACCCACAGAUAUAGAGGGUUGGCCCGGUGCAGUGGCUCACGCCUGUAAUCCCAGCACUUUGGGAGGCCAAGGCGGGUGGAUCACCUGAGGUCAGAAGCUUGAGACCAGCCUGGCCAACAUGGGUACUGCUUUCUCUUGCUGCAGCUUGCUUCCUCCCUCAGGUAUGAAGUUAAGCUACUCGGGAGGCUGAGGCAGGAGAAUCGCUUGAACCCGGGAGGCGGAGGUUGCCAUGAGCCGAGAUUGCGCCACUACACUCCAGCCUGGGCAACAAAAGCGAAACUCCAUCUCAAAAAAAAAAAAAAGGCAUAUAAAAUUAUAGCUGGGUAGGAGGAAUAAGUUCUAGUGUUCUACACCACUGUGGGAUGACUAUAGUUAACAAUAAUACAUACUUUCAGGUAACAUGAAGGAGGAUAUUGAAUGUUCCUAACACAAAGAAAUGAUAAAUGUUUGAGAUGGUGGAUGUACUAAUUGCCCUGAUCUGAUGACUAUACAUUAUAUAUAUUGAAACAUCAGUAUGUACCCCAUGAAUAUGUACAAUUAUAUGUCAACUUAAACACAUUUAAAAGUAAAAAAAAAAAAA